ACAGCAGUAGCCGCGGUAAUACCGAGGGUGCGAGCGUUAAUCGGAUUUACUGGGCGUAAAGCGUGCGUAGGCGGCUUUUUAAGUCGGAUGUGAAAUCCCUGAGCUUAACUUAGGAAUUGCAUUCGAUACUGGGAAGCUAGAGUAUGGGAGAGGAUGGUAGAAUUCCAGGUGUAGCGGUGAAAUGCGUAGAGAUCUGGAGGAAUACCGAUGGCGAAGGCAGCCAUCUGGCCUAAUACUGACGCUGAGGUACGAAAGCAUGGGGAGCAAACAGGAUUAGAUACCCCGGUAGUCCCUGUCUCUUAUAC
rnacentral:rRNA from 1 species